rnacentral:rRNA from 1 species
AGAGUUUGAUCCUGGCUCAGGAUGAACGCUGGCGGCGUGCUUAAUACAUGCAAGUCGAGCGAGGACCAUUUGGUGGCAACACCGGGUGGCUCCUAGCGGCGAACGGGUGAGUAACACGUGGGCAACCUACCCCCGACUUUGGGAUAAGCCCGGGAAACUGGGUCUAAUACCGGAUACGAGCCUCCUCCGCAUGGUGGAGGUUGGAAAGGGUCUCCGGUCGGGGAUGGGCCCGCGGCCUAUCAGCUUGUUGGCGGGGUAACGGCCCACCAAGGCGACGACGGGUAGCCGGCCUGAGAGGGUGAACGGCCACACUGGGACUGAGACACGGCCCAGACUCCUACGGGAGGCAGCAGUAGGGAAUCUUGCGCAAUGGGCGAAAGCCUGACGCAGCGACGCCGCGUGCGGGACGAAGGCCUUCGGGUUGUAAACCGCUUUCAGCAGGGACGAAGCGAAAGUGACGGUACCUGCAGAAGAAGGUCCGGCCAACUACGUGCCAGCAGCCGCGGUA